CACCCCUAGCAAUGGGCAAAGAGACACCUUGUUGGUGAUGGUUUUCUUCUAUUAGUCAUGGUUAGAGUAGAUGGCAGUCUUCUGUUCAUCCUAGCUUGAUGCCUGAUUUGGUGGCCAAAGUUGCCUUAUGUCUAGGACUCAUAA